UUCAGUUUUGUUCCUCUCUUCAGUUUUCCUUCUCUCUUUAAGUUUUUCUCUUUAUUUUUCCUUCUCUCUAUCUGCUCUUUGGUUGUGUUCUUAUUGGGUGUACGUUCGAUCUGAGGCUGAAAUCUGAUAAUUGAAUUGGGUGUUUGAAGUUAAGCUAUUUGGGGGCUAGAUUUUCAUCGUAAGUUCUUCAUCUCUUUGGAUUUGUUCUAAAAUUAUACGGGAUCAACCCUAGGAGGAGCAGGACAUAAGCCAUAAAUCGUCUCAAAGAAACCCUAAAAGGAGGCUAGAAUCAUGAAGAACAUGAAGCCACUUAAGCAACUGAAGCUCUUCGUACCUGCUCAAGAAACACCUAUCACCAGUUUCUUGUAACCUCUCUCAAGUUUCCUCCAAAUUGGUGCUUAUCUAUUUUGACAUUUUCUAUUUAUUAUCUUUCGUCCAUUGGAUUUUGAGUUGCCUGUAAAAUGAAUAAUUAAUCCCUAAUGCCUAGUUUACGAAUCAAUUUGAAUUCCAAGUGUUGUAUCUAUAAAUUUUUAAAUUGCAGGACUGCUAGUGGAACAUUUCAGGAUGGCGAUUUGCUACUGAACCCGAAAG
rnacentral:lncRNA from 1 species